ensembl:rRNA 5S_rRNA 5S ribosomal RNA
GUCUAUGGCCAUACCACACUGAACGUGCCCGAUCUCGUCUGAUCUCGGAAACUAAGCAGGGUCAGGCCUGGUUACUAUAUCAC